GAUCAUUACCAAACGAUUCUUUGGAUUCAGUUAGUAGCUUUUUGAUGCGGCGNAAGCCAAAUCGAGAAGUAGUUGGUUGACCGUAAUUAGGAGAAAUCCUUCCAGCUGCACUGAUUGGAUUCAGAGUUUAAUCAACCCCCUGUGAACUAUAAACCCGUACUGUUAUUGUCUUUUGGGUGGUACUGAAGCUGUUUACAGUCGAUGUGCUGCCCAGAAGCGAUAGCGCUUUAUUGAACUACUAAACGAAUUAUAUCUAUACGCAAAAUCUCUUUAUUAUUUAAUAAUAAUAAUUGACAACUUUUAACAGUGGAUCUCUAGGCUCGUGGAUCGAUGAAGAGCGCAGCAAAAUGCGAUACGUAAUGUGAAUUGCAGAAUUCAGUGAAUCAUCGAAUCCUUGAACGCAAAUUGCGGUGUUGGGUAUUCCCGGCACCAUGCUUGGUUGAGUGUCACUUAAUCUAACAAAAUUCAAUUUAUUUUGGGUAUUGUUACAGAUGAGGUUACGAGGCGUCUAUUUAAUAGAACUUCGAACCUUUAAUGACUAGCAAGACGCAUGACUUUUGAAGUUCAUUGCAGCUACUUGUGUGGCAAUAUUGUUUCGACAAUUUAAAGCGCAUGUUGGCUCAGUGGAUGUUAAUUCUUAAAUCAUUGCUGUUCUUACAAAUCUGACUCUAUAUGUCUUCGGACUUAGAAUUUUGACCUCAGCUCAAGCAAGACUACCCGCUGAA
rnacentral:rRNA from 1 species